GACGAACGCUGACGGUGUGCUUUAGGCAUGCAAGUCGAACGAGAAAGCCCUUCGGGGUGAGUAAAGUGGCGAACGGGUGAGUAACACGUGAGCAACCUGCCCCUCGCAGGGGGACAACCGGAGGAAACUCCGGCUAAUACCCCGUACGUUCCCAGGGUCGCAUGGCCUUGGGAGGAAAGGUAGCUUCGGCCAUCCGGCGAGGGAUGGGCCCGCGGUGCAUUAGCUAGUUGGUGGGGUAACGGCUCACAAAGGCAACGAUGCAUAGCUGGUCUGAGAGGAUGAUCAGCACACUGGGACUGAGACACGGCCCAGACUCCUACGGGAGGCAGCAGCCAGGAAUCUUGGGCAAUGGGCGCAAGCCUGACCCAGCAACACCGUGUGGGCGAUGAAGGCCUUCGGGUCGUAAAGCCCUGUUGAUAGGGACGAAGGGCGAAGGGUUAAUAGCCCCUAGCCUGACGGUACCUUUCGAGGAAGCCCCGGCUAACUACGUGCCAGCCGCCGCAGUAACAC
rnacentral:rRNA from 1 species